UACGUAGGGGGCAAGCGUUGUCCGGAUUUAUUGGGCGUAAAGAGCGUGUAGGCGGCCAUGCAGGUCAGCUGUGAAAACUCGAGGCUCAACCUCGAGACGUCGGUUGAAACCGUAUGGCUAGAGUCCGGAAGAGGAGAGUGGAAUUCCCGGUGUAGCGGUGAAAUGCGCAGAUAUCAGGAAGAACACCCGUGGCGAAGGCGGCUCUCUGGGACGGUACUGACGCUGAGACGCGAAAGCGUGGGUAGCAAACAGG
rnacentral:rRNA from 1 species